GACGAACGCUGGCGGCGUGCCUAAUACAUGCAAGUAGAACGCACAGUUUAUACCGUAGCUUGCUACACCAUAAACUGUGAGUUGCGAACGGGUGAGUAACGCGUAGGUAACCUGCCUGGUAGCGGGGGAUAACUAUUGGAAACGAUAGCUAAUACCGCAUAAUAUUGAUUAUUGCAUGAUAAUUGAUUGAAAGAUGCUAUUGCAUCACUACCAGAUGGACCUGCGUUGUAUUAGCUAGUAGGUGAGGUAACGGCUCACCUAGGCGACGAUACAUAGCCGACCUGCGAGGGUGAUCGGCCACGCUGGGACUGGGGCACGGCCCAGACUCCUACGGGAGGCAGCAGUAGGGAAUCUUCGGCAAUAGACGAAAGUCUGACCGAGCAACGCCGCGUGAGUGAAGAAGGUUUUCGGAUCGUAAAGCUCUGUUGUAAGAGAAGAACGGGUGUGAGAGUGGAAAGUUCACACUGUGACGGUAUCUUACCAGAAAGGGACGGCUAACUACGUG
rnacentral:rRNA from 1 species